rnacentral:rRNA from 1 species
UGGGGAAUUUUGCACAAUGGGGGCAACCCUGAUGCAGCGACGCCGCGUGAUUUAGAAGGCCUUCGGGUUGUAAAAAUCUUUUGUAUGGGAAGAAAAUGACAGUACCAUACGAAUAAGGACCGGCUAAUUACGUGCCAGCAGCCGCGGUAAUACGUAAGGUCCGAGCGUUGUCCGGAAUCAUUGGGCGUAAAGGGUACGUAGGCGGAUAAGCAAGUUAGAAGUGAAAUCCUAUAGCUCAACUAUAGUAAGCUUUUAAAACUGCUCAUCUUGAGGUAUGGAAGGGAAAGUGGAAUUCCUAGUGUAGCGGUGAAAUGCGCAGAUAUUAGGAGGAAUACCGGUGGAGAAGGCGACUUUCUGGCCAUAAACUGACGCUGAGGUACGAAAGCGUGGGUAGCAAACAGG